rnacentral:sRNA from 1 species
GAUGCGCCGGCUGUGCACUCCCCUCGGGCGGGCCUCCUGUUGCGCCCGCCUGGCGGGUUCCAUCACUGUCACCGGCUCUGCCGUAUCCAAGACAGUAUGCAAGGCCACGACCCACGAGAUCAUGGGGCCCAAGAAAAAGCACCUGGACUACUUAAUUCAGUGCACAAAUGAGAUGAAUGUGAACAUCCCACAGUUGGCAGACAGUUUAUUUGAAAGAACUACUAAUAGUAGUUGGGUGGUGGUCUUCAAAUCUCUCAUUACAACUCAUCAUUUGAUGGUGUAUGGAAAUGAGCGUUUUAUUCAGUAUUUGGCUUCAAGAAACACGUUGUUUAACUUAAGCAAUUUUUUGGAUAAAAGUGGAUUGCAAGAGGAGAGGUUGAGCCUUGAAGGAUGAGAGGUGUUUACCGUCUUAGGAUGGGGUAUAGUAGAUAGAACCAUAUGAACCGAAGAGCUGAGGAAUGUGAGCAUGUAACACCUGACGUGUACAGUAGUAGGAUAUGACAUGUCUACAUUUAUUAGGCGGUAUAGUAGAUAUUUAAAUGAGAAAGCAGUUUCAUACAGACAAGUUGCAUUUGAUUUCACAAAA